CUGUAGUGCAGUGGCACAAUCAUAGCUCACUAUAACCCUCGACCUCCCAGGCUCAAGCAAUCCUCCCACCUCAGCCUCCCGAAUAGCUGGGACUACAGGCAUGCACCACCAAGCCUGGCUAAUUUGCUAUUUUUGUUUUUCAUAGAGACAGAGUCUGCCCUGUGGCCCAGCAGGUAUAUAUCCCAAAGUAGGAAAACACAUACUCACAAAAACUUGUAUAUGAAUGUUUAUAGCCACAUGAUUGAAAAUUGCCAAAAAAUAAAAGCAAUCCAAAUGAAUUGAUUUUAAAAAAGGUGCUAUAUGUGUACAAUGGAAUAUUAUUCAGCCAUGAAAAGGAAUACAGUACUUGAUACAUCAUGGAUGAACCUUGGAAGCAUUAUGCUGAGUGAAAGAAACAAGACAUGAAUGUCACGAGUCCAUUUAUGUGAAGUGUCCAGAAUACACAAAUCUACAGAGAUAAAAAGUAGAAGGAGAUUAGUUAGAGAGAUUAGUUAUAGAGCAUGAGACUGUCCCCAAGGCUGGAGUAGAUUUUUUUUUUAUUUUUGAGACCAAGUCUCACUCUGUCACCCAGGCUGGAGUGCAAUGGCACGAUCUCUCCUCACUGCAACCUCUGCCUCCUCAGUUCAAGCAGUUCUCCUGCCUCAGCCUCCCAAGUAUCUGAGAUUACAGGCACAUAACACCACACCUAGCUAAUUUCUUUUUUUUUUUUUUUUUUUUUUAGUAGAGACGGGGUUUCACCAUGUUGGUCAGGCUGGUCUUGAACUUCUGACCUCAGGUGACCCGCCCGCCUUGGCCUUCUACAGUGCUGAGAUGACAUGCGUGAGUCACCAUGCCUGGCCAGAUCAGAUUUCUAGAUGAAAGAAGACAAGCUUCACCAAGGAAGUGGGCUCCGUGACAGUUUUGUUUCCAGACCUUUCUGAUAAGAACGUAAUCAGUCAGCAUCCUCUUCAGCAGACAAAAAGCAGAUCUUGCUUCUGCUGAAGUCAGCAGGGAGAGCCACUGAACAGAGAAGUAAAUACUCAUGAUGCUAAAGCCAAUGUAAAUAUUGACCUCUUGGCAUGAUAAAUCCUCCUGUUAAUCUAAAACAGAGAUCCGCCCCACCACACCCAUUGCCCUAUAGAACAUGGAUUCUGCAAUUCUCUCAGAAGUUCAGGAAGGUGCUGGUAGGAACAGAAUUGUUUUCAUCCUGAUUUCUCCAGCAGUCUGUGCUCCCAGCUGUUCUGGAUCCCAAAACAACGCAGGAAUGGGCUGGAGUUAACUCAAGGGAGCAGGGGAGUCAAAACAAAAGAUUUCUUUGCUUUGCUGCAAGUGUUCCCUACUUGGCCAGGGCAAGAUGCAAGCAGAACAUAUAGAUAUUAUAGAAGAUCUCCACUUUUGAUUUUUUUUUUUUUUUUUUUUUGGAGACAUGGUCUCACUCUGUCGCCCAGGCAGGAGGGCAGUGGAGCGAUCGUGGCUCACUGCAGCCUUGACCUCCUGGGCUC
rnacentral:lncRNA from 10 species